UACGAAGGGGGCUAGCGUUGCUCGGAAUCACUGGGCGUAAAGCGCACGUAGGCGGAUUGCUAAGUCAGGGGUGAAAUCCUGGAGCUCAACUCCAGAACUGCCUUUGAUACUGGGGAUCUCGAGUCCGGGAGAGGUGAGUGGAACUGCGAGUGUAGAGGUGAAAUUCGUAGAUAUUCGCAAGAACACCAGUGGCGAAGGCGGCUCACUGGCCCGGAACUGACGCUGAGGUGCGAAAGCGUGGGGAGCAAACAGG
rnacentral:rRNA from 1 species